UUUCGCAAUGCCCGAAAGGGUGACGAAGCGACGCCGCGUGGGUGAGGAAGGCCUUCGGGUUGUAAAGCCCUGUCAGGAGUUAAGAAAUGUAAGUGCGCUAAUAUCGCAUUUAUUUGACAAAGGCUCCAAAGGAAGCCACGGCUAACUCUGUGCCAGCAGCCGCGGUAAUACAGAGGUGGCAAGCGUUGUUCGGAAUUAUUGGGCGUAAAGAGCACGUAGGUGGGUUCGUAAGUCAGAUGUGAAAGCCUUCUGUUCAACGGAAGAAUUGCAUCUGAAACUGCAAGUCUUGAGUGUAGGAGGGGAGAAUGGAACUUCUGGUGGAGCGGUGAAAUGCGUAGAUAUCAGAAGGAACGCCGGCGGCGAAAGCGAUUCUCUGGCCUAUUACUGACACUCAGUGUGCGAAAGCUAGGGGAGCAAACGGGACUAGAUACCCCGGUAGUCCUAGCUGUAAACGAUGGGCACUAAGUAGAGGGGUU
rnacentral:rRNA from 1 species